GGCGGAAUGGCCGAGCGGUCUAAGGCGCUAGAAUCAGGUCGCAUGACGUCCAUCUAGUCCUCACGGGCGUGGGUUCGAAUCCCACUUCCGUCA